GACGAACGCUGGCGGCGUGCUUAACACAUGCAAGUCGAACGGAAAGGCCCUGCUUUUGUGGGGUGCUCGAGUGGCGAACGGGUGAGUAACACGUGAGUAACCUGCCCUUGACUUUGGGAUAACUUCAGGAAACUGGGGCUAAUACCGGAUAGGAGCUCCUGCUGCAUGGUGGGGGUUGGAAAGUUUCGGCGGUUGGGGAUGGACUCGCGGCUUAUCAGCUUGUUGGUGGGGUAGUGGCUUACCAAGGCUUUGACGGGUAGCCGGCCUGAGAGGGUGACCGGCAACAUUGGGACUGAGAUACGGCCCAGACUCCUACGGGAGGCAGCAGUGGGGAAUAUUGCACAAUGGGCGGAAGCCUGAUGCAGCAACGCCGCGUGCGGGAUGACGGCCUUCGGGUUGUAAACCGCUUUCGCCUGUGACGAAGCGUGAGUGACGGUAAUGGGUAAAGAAGCACCGGCUAACUACGG
rnacentral:rRNA from 1 species